AUUGAACGCUGGCGGCAGACCUAACACAUGCAAGUCGAACGAGUGGCGGACGGGUGAGUAAUGUCUGGGAAACUGCCCGAUGGAGGGGGAUAACUACUGGAAACGGUAGCUAAUACCGCAUACCAUCGGAUGUGCCCAGAUGGGAUUAGCUAGGAGGUGGGGUACAGGCUCACCUAGGCGACGAACCCUAGCUGGUCGGAGAGGAUGACCAGCCAAACUGGAACUGAGACACGGUCCAGACUCCGACGGGAGGCAGCAGUGGGGAAGAUUGGACAAUGGGCGCAAGCCUGAUGCAGCCAUGCCGCGUGUAUGAAGAAGGCCUUCGGGUUGUAAAGUACUUUCAGCGAGGAGGCGUUACUCGCAGAAGAAGCACCGGCUAACUCCGUGCCAGCAGCCGCGGUAAUAC
rnacentral:rRNA from 1 species